UACGGGGGGGCAAGCGUUGUUCGGAAUUACUGGGCGUAAAGGGCUCGUAGGCGGCCAACUAAGUCGGAUGUGAAAUCCCCAGGCUCAACUUGGGAACUGCAUCCGAUACUGGAUGGCUUGAAUUCGGGAGAGGGAUGCAGAAUUCCAGGUGUAGCGGUGAAAUGCGUAGAUAUCUGGAGGAAUACCGGUGGCGAAGGCGGCCCCCUGGGCCAAUACUGACGCUCAUGCACGAAAGCGUGGGGAGCAAACAGGA
rnacentral:rRNA from 1 species